GCUGCUGCCGCAAGGCUGCUCCCCUCAAAUGCAUCGGUUGGACCUGUGGGUCGAACUCGACUGGGCGUUGUACCAUCCUCGCUCUUACCCGAGACGUUCCCCUUUGUUGUGUCCUUCCACAGACCCCUGCCAGUUGGAGUUGGCGGUCGACACUUUGAAAUUCUGACCUCAAAUCAGGUAGGACUACCCGCUGAACUUAA
rnacentral:misc_RNA from 1 species